CAAGACUUAUAAAAUAUUAAUUUACAUCUCCUGAAUGCAACUCAAGCACUUUAAUUAAGCUAAAGCCUCA
rnacentral:tRNA from 2 species